rnacentral:sRNA from 1 species
GGAACGGAUGAUACUUGAGGAAUUCGGACGAUGUUUGAUGAGUGUCAUCAACUCUGCAGGAAAGGCAAAAAGUGACCCUUGUGCCAUGAAUUGCUAACUCUUGCACAAAAGACUGAUGAACUGUACAGAAAAUUUAAGCAUUUUAUAUAGGAAUUCUGGUGUGAACACCCAAAGCAUAAGGGAAGGCAAUCAACUAAAAAUCCCUUACUAUUGGAGUUAUUUUCAUCAUGUAAAUUACUUAAGGCUUUUCUUGUUAGGGCUUCUUGAAUGCACAUUUUGUCAUUAUCUGUAGACCAAAGGAUUCUCAAAUGAGCACCAAGGAUGCUAACUGUGUUGCAUAUGUGGUACAUAUAUAACAAAGCACUUAAUGUCCCUAUGUAAUUUUAUUUUAAAUGGGGUUAAAAAAACAACCAACUUAUGUUCUGCUGAGUUUGAUUUUUAAAUGGAAAUCUCAAUGGUAUCUGAAUAUCUACAGCUACUAGAACAAUGUCAUGAACAUGAAGCAGAAUGGCAAAGUACCUAAAGAAAUGAGCAACUGUUUGAGUACUGGAAUUAUAAAUCUAAAUAUAUAAUGUUACAGCAAAGGUCACAAAAUGCAAAAUGACAUGAAGAGAGAAAAGAUACAUGUGCGCUGGAAUUACCAGGAAGAUUUAAUCUAGGAGUUGAUGCAGAACUAUGGGAAAUGAAGAAAACCAUGAAAAAGAAAAGAUAAGAAGUUACGUGAAAUCUCUUAUAUAAACCAUAGUGAAAUACCAUUAAGUAAUGCUUUAAAACCAGUGUAGAAGAGAUUGAAAAGGUAUAUGCUUCU